rnacentral:rRNA from 1 species
CUGGCGGCGUGCCUAAUACAUGCAAGUCGAGCGGAAUGAUGAAGAAGCUUGCUUCUUCUGAUUUUAGCGGCGGACGGGUGAGUAACACGUGGGCAACCUACCUUGUAGAUUGGGAUAACUCCGGGAAACCGGGGCGUAAUACCGAAUAAUCCAUUUUGCUUCAUGGCGAGAUGUUAAAAGGCGGCUUCGGCUGUCACUACGAGAUGGGCCCGCGGCGCAUUAGCUAGUUGGUAGGGUAAUGGCCUACCAAGGCGACGAUGCGUAGCCGACCUGAGAGGGUGAUCGGCCACACUGGGACUGAGACACGGCCCAGACUCCUACGGGAGGCAGCAGUAGGGAAUCUUCCACAAUGGACGAAAGUCUGAUGGAGCAACGCCGCGUGAGUGAAGAAGGUUUUCGGAUCGUAAAACUCUGUUGUAAGGGAAGAACACGUACGAGAGUAACUGCUCGUACCUUGACGGUACCUUAUUAGAAAGCCACGGCUAACUACGUG